GUUUUGAAGGAGUUUCCACUUGCAUCCCUCUCCGACGCUACCUAGGAAAACUCGGUCGUUUUACCAUCUCUUUCCCACUACAAAGCCCUUCUCUUAGUUUCUAAAUAACCUAUCUUCCGAUCACCGGCGUUGGCGAAAGCUAACAUGUCUUCAGCGAAGGAUGCCGAUCCUUCCCUGGGUUACUUGACCCGCAAAGAUACCGAGGUGAAGCUUCCUCGGCCAACCCGGGUGAAAAACAAAACGCCGGCCCCGAUUCAGAUCACCGCCGAGCAGAUAUUGCGCGAGGCACGAGAACGUCAGGAAGCUGAAAUCCGUCCUCCCAAGCAGAAGAUCACAGACUCAACCGAGCUCGCUGAUUAUCGGCUUCGCAAAAGAAAAGAGUUUGAAGACCUAAUCAGACGAGUUCGAUGGAAUAUUAGUGUAUGGAUUAAGUACGCGCAGUGGGAGGAGUCACAAAAGGAUUUCAAUCGAGCACGUUCAGUUUGGGAACGGGCACUUGAGGUUGAUUACCGGAACCACACGCUAUGGCUCAAAUACGCGGAGGUGGAGAUGAAGAAUAAGUUCAUCAAUCAUGCCAGGAAUGUUUGGGACCGUGCCGUCACGCUCUUACCUCGUGUGGAUCAGCUAUGGUACAAGUACAUUCACAUGGAGGAGAUGCUUGGGAAUGUGGCUGGUGCUAGGCAGAUUUUUGAGAGAUGGAUGAGUUGGAUGCCUGACCAGCAAGGAUGGCUUUCUUAUAUCAAAUUUGAGCUGAGGUAUAAUGAAAUUGAACGUGCAAGAGGGAUUUUUGAACGUUUUGUACAGUGUCAUCCUAAGGUCAGUGCGUGGAUUCGAUAUGCCAAGUUUGAGAUGAAGAAUGGGGAAGUUGCGAGGGCUAGGAAUGUAUAUGAAAGGGCGGUUGAGAAAUUGGCUGAUGAUGAGGAGGCGGAGCAGUUGUUUGUGGCUUUUGCAGAGUUUGAGGAGAGGUGCAAGGAGACACAGCGUGCUCGGUGUAUCUACAAGUUUGCAUUGGACCAUAUACCCAAAGGGAGGGCUGAGGAUUUAUAUAGGAAAUUUGUGUCGUUUGAGAAGCAGUAUGGGGAUAAAGAAGGAAUUGAAGAUGCAAUUGUUGGGAAAAGGAGGUUUCAGUAUGAGGAUGAAGUGAGGAAGAAUCCACUGAAUUAUGAUUCUUGGUUUGAUUAUAUCAGGUUGGAGGAGAGCGUGGGGAGUAAGGAGAGGAUUAGGGAGGUUUAUGAGCGUGCAAUUGCAAAUGUGCCACCUGCUGAGGAGAAGAGAUAUUGGCAGAGAUACAUAUAUUUGUGGAUAAAUUAUGCUCUCUAUGAAGAACUUGAUGCUGAAGAUAUGGAGAGAACACGGGAUGUAUACAGGGAAUGCAUGAACCUAAUUCCUCACAAGAAGUUUUCAUUUGCAAAGAUAUGGCUUUUAGCUGCUCAAUUUGAAAUUCGACAGUUGAAUCUCACAGGUGCUCGACAAAUUUUAGGCAAUGCCAUUGGCAAAGCUCCCAAAGAUAAGAUUUUUAAGAAAUAUAUUGAGAUAGAGCUGCAACUUGGUAAUAUUGAUCGCUGCCGAAAGCUUUAUGAGAAAUACUUAGAGUGGUCACCUGAAAAUUGUUAUGCUUGGAGCAAAUACGCAGAACUGGAGAGAUCUCUGUCUGAAACUGAACGGGCACGAUCAAUUUUUGAGCUUGCAAUAGCACAGCCAGCCUUGGACAUGCCAGAGUUGUUGUGGAAGGCAUAUAUUGAUUUUGAAAUCUCUGAAGGUGAAUACGACAGAACACGGCAUCUUUACGAGAGACUAUUGGACCGAACAAAGCAUUUGAAGGUUUGGAUUAGUUAUGCAGAAUUUGAGGCAUCUGCCAUGGAAGAGGUUGUUGAGGGUGCAGAUUCGUUGGAGGAGCAGAAGAGAAAGUGUAUUCAAAAUGCAAGAAGGGUCUUUGAGAAAGCCAUUAACUACUUCAGAACAUCAGCACCUGAAUUGAAGGAGGAACGUGCUAUGCUUUUAGAAGAAUGGUUGAACAUGGAGAGCAGUUUUGGUUAUUUAGGUGAUGUUGGCUUAGUCCAGCCUAAGCUGCCUAAGAAGCUCAAAAAGAGGCGGCCUAUUACUUCAGAAGACGGUCUGGCUGGGAUGGAGGAAUUCACAGAUUACGUAUUCCCAGAAGAAACUCAGGCCCCAAAUCUGAAGAUCUUGGAAGCUGCAUACCGCUGGAAGAAGCAAAAGAUUUCUACCGAGGAUUAAUGUCACUAUACUUUUUGUAGCAUUUUUAAUCGCAACUGUGUAGAUACAGUAAAAGAGAGUUUUAUGUUCGUGUUAGAUUGACAAAAACAAUAGCUUGGCUGCACCUGCAUGUGAAUUCUUUUCAGAAAUGGGAUCCCACCAUAUUAGGGAGUGCCGUUGUUUGGAGGAGGAAGAAGGAAGUUGGAGCAACUUGUUUUUGAGCUCUGUUGAUUCUCCUAAUGUAUUAUCAAUGUUGCUUAUUGCAGUUUAACUUGUACCAUAAGUUCUGUAAUUUCACAUUGGAUUUUGCAUAUUUCCUUUACUGAAACAGAAUUAGGAGACACUGAUUUUUUAUUUUUAUUUAUUUU
rnacentral:misc_RNA from 1 species